rnacentral:lncRNA from 1 species
UCCUUUUGCGCCAAUUACUGCUUUUCAGGGGUAUCAUUUGCGCCAAAUUUUGUUUGCCAAAUGUAUCAUUUGCGCCAAUUUACCUGUACUUAUAUCUAUCAUAAAUAUUAAUGAUUAAUAUUUAUUCUUUCUAUUUUUUGGCUUAAAAAGUAUCAUAUGAUCGGAGAUAUUUCACCGUGAAGAUGAGCAUCUGGAGAGAAAUGACUUGAAAUGCAGUAGACAGUCCAUGUACAGAGAGAGAAGAAAAAGUAUUGCUUUGCUGAAUAUUUGAUACAAGAUAUAUGCCAAAAGAGAAGAAAGUAUAAGCUUUUGCUGAUUAUGUUUUAGCCACAUACGUUGAUGACACAGUGCUUUGCUCCCACCAUCCGUAUCU